UCAUUUAAUUCGUCUUAAUCGUUGAAAUUUGAUCGUUGAAUCUUCAAUAGUCCACAAUGAACGACUGUCUUUUUCUUGAUACCUUGAGAAUAUUUCACGUGACAGGAGCAAGGUAUGAUAACGAAACGAGGCCAAUGGUUGAACUCGAUCUCAUUUUCUUUCGUUAUCGUCGUACAUGAAGCUAAGCAAUGUCUAAUAUUACUAUAAUUUAGGUACUGUUAAAAAGUGACAUUAGAUAACAGCCACUCUCAAUCUCGAAACUUUUAUCGCUCUUAAUGUAAAAUCAUUCUGUAGUCCUGGUCUCGAUAACGUUUGCGAAGGUUAGAUCUCAUACGUCUUUAUGAAUAUAUGGAUUUUGUCAACCAAAUGAGAAGGAUUAAAAUCAUAUAUUUUACUUAUAAAUGUUAUCAAUAAUAUCGGUGUGUAAAGAAAUGUUAAAAUUAACUGUCUCGAGGCCCGAUCGUUCGAUGAAAUAAUAUUUUUGUGAUUUCUCACAAAUAAAAAAUCGUCUACAGAUACGGACAAAUAUCGAAUUUGAUCGAUACGUGAAAAAAUUUUUUGCGUCUAACCUAGGAAUCAUGGCGCCUGCUUAUCGUUGAUGAAAGAUUGAAAUUGAUAGUACACGCAUACUAUUGCUUCCACAAAAUUUUCGAUUCGUGUUAAAAAAACAAAGAAAAAAAAAGAAAAAAGAAAAAAAAAAGAAAGAAAAAAGAAAAAAAGAAAUGAUAGUUCUACAAAGUAGCUCAAUGAUAUCUAUCAUCUUUUUAAAUUAUUACGUUUUUCUUGAGAGCGCGAUACGAUUAAUUGUGAAAUCAUCUUAUUAAAAUUGAAGAUUUCUUUUAUCGGUCACGAGAGUCAAGAGUCGCGCGAACUUUAACAAUUUCAAUACGAUUUAAAUUUUAGAAAGAAUCAUGCGCUUGUGAUAAGAAAGUAACGUAAAUUUGAUAGAUAAAUCGUCAAAGGCAUUCGUUUUUAUCUCUAAUAGCGCCGAUAUUUGAAAUUAAAUACCUCGUGAGAUCGUCCAUAUUACGUGUAAGUUAAAAUGGAAAUUAAUUAGAAAUCAAUGUUUUCAUUGUUUCUUCCUAGAAUUCAUUAUUUUUUGCAUUCCUUGCUAUCGAGUUAAUACACGAUGAUAGAGCCAUCGUACGGUCAAGAAUUAUCGCGUGUUCAUGACCGUUGUGAUCGAUAAAAAAGUCGACGAUAAAAAGCAAAUCGUGAAUUCACCACGAAAGCGUUUUGCGGAAGUUCUGAAGAAAUGCGUGCAAUCAGAAGUUAAUUGGAAACCAUCACCUGUCACUUUAAUGACCUCGUGUCUUCGCCAGCCAAAGUCUGCGAACCUCAAAAGCUUAUGAAGUUACCAAAGCGAAGAGAAAAUACAAAUCGCCGUAAUUAGUCGCGGUAAUUAGCUAAGGGGUUAUGGCGGUCAGCAAAUGAAAAUAAAUGGAUCCAAAACAAGCAGAAGUCCGGCUGGUUUUAUGUUCGAAUAAGGACAACGGAAAUUCCACACAAAGGAAUUCUACCUGGCUUGGAAUUUCGAGAGAACGUAGUAGAACUGUACAAUAUAAAACCAGCCAAACGAUAAACGGUUCUACGCAGAAUCUUUGAGGUAAACGACAGUUGGCGUACACGCGAACCCAAAGCGGACCGCACAAAGGUGCUCGCGAGACUUGAAUUAUGGGGUAGGAAAAGAACAAGAUAAUUCGUGUAUUGCACGAGCGAGCAAAAGAACGAAGCGAAAAGGAACGUCUGAGGUAAACAACGUUGACCCACCUUAGACCGGAAACACUGGCGAUACGCAUCUCUGACUUGGUGAAAACGAAUGCAUAUAAAAUAUACAUAACAAAAUGAAUGUUUUUAACUUUUUUAAUUUUUUUUUCACAUAUAGCGAAUCAACGUUUCUAUCUAUCGAUUGUGCCCCAUAAAAUAGUUCUCUAAGAUUAAUUAUUAUUAUUCGUAUAAUUUUUACGAAGGACCAGUGAAAAAUACUAGGCUUAUUGAAAUGAAAAAAAAAUGAGUAUGUGUGUGUGUGUAUGUGUCUGUAUAUGACAGAGAAAGAGAGAGAAAGAGUGUGUGUGUGUGUGUGUGUGUGUGUGUGUGUGUAUGUGUGAAGGAUCAUAAAAGAACGGCAUCGACGGUCGCUUGAUCCCUACGACUUUCCCUCUUCCACCUGGAUCGACCCUUACGACUCAUCGUUGCUCUUUGCUCCUCGAUCGAACCUGACCUUUUGACUUCAUGUUCCUUCCUUGCCCGCACGUUAUCAACUAAUUUUAUUCAGGAUUCUUGACUUAAGUUCGUUCUCACGAAAAUUUCUUAAAAUUCACUAACAUUAAUAAAAUCGUAAAUGUACUACAUUAGAUUGAAUAAAAAAAAAAAGGUAUAAUAUGGAUAUAUUAUUUUUUGUUAA